rnacentral:misc_RNA from 1 species
AGAAACCUAGUACCUGAAAAUUUAGUGUCAGCAACUUUUGAGCAAGCACAAACCAAGUACGAUUACGAGAAGAUUGCAAAAAAUAUUUCUGGCAAUAUUACAGAGACUACUGUCAAAUCUAAAUCAGUAGGAUCCGCUCCUAGCUCCAACAUACUUGGUCUUGUGAUCGUGAGUGCUGUCUUUGGUCUCGCCACCAGCUACAUGAAAGAAGUUGGUCAGCCAUUCAAACACUUCUUCAGCUCUGCUACCGAGAUUAUUCUCCGAAUCCUUCGUUGGUUGAUCUGGUCAACGCCCGUCGGUUCGCUGAGUUUGAUUGCCAAGACCAUCGCCGGAUCUCAGAACCUGGAGGAUGACAUGCGGAAGCUGGGCGUGUACUUCGGAACUGUGAUGACGGGGCUACUGGUGUGUGGGUUCCUGAUCCAACCAAUCACCUACUUUCUCAUCAGUCGCAAAAACCCAUUUAAAUUUUGGUUUUCUAUCCUCCAACCCACCAUGAUAGUUUUCGCGACAUCCAGCACCGCCAUCGCCAUCCCGGAGUCCUUUGAGUGUCUGGAGGGGAAGAACGGCCUGGACCGGAGAGUGACGCGGUUUGUGGUGCCCCUGUCGGCCGCCCUGGGUCGCUGCGGUAGCUCCAUGUACAUCACCGUUUCCUGUCUGUUUGUUGCACAACUCGUCAACGUAGAAAUCGAUUUUGCCAAGGUUGUCAUCGUCUGCAUCCUGACGUCAUUCUCCACGCUAGCCGUGCCCUCGGUCACCGGAGCUAGCCUGAUCACUGUCGUCAUUCUGCUGACCGCUCUCAACAUCCCAGCGGAGGCCGCCUCUCUACUCUUCGCUCUGGAAUGGUUCUUAGAUAGAUUCCGAUCCGUGGUCAAUUACUACAUACAAACAUUGGGCGUCGUGGUCACGUAUGAAAAGUGCAAGGCCACACUACCCUCUCUAGAGGAGCUCGGGACUGCUGACGGCGAGGAGGUGAAGGACGUCCCCAGCAUUGAACAAGAGGUGGAAGUGCCUUGUACUGUAGUCGGGAUUAAUAGUGAGGAAAAAUCCGAACCUGAGCAAUCACAUCUAUAGUGACUUCCUGUGAACCUGCCAUAGCUGGACCAGUGCAUGACCGAAUUCUGUACGCGUGUAAUCCCACUGUAGUUUAAGUGUAUAUAAAAGAUGUAUGAAUGUCGCAUAUCAUAGUCAUUUUGAAAUAAAUCGCAA